AUGUUAGUUUUAUGCCGACGAGCGAUAUCCAAUGAGAGCUCAGUUUUACAUCAUCAUGUGAGAAAAAGCAGAGCUUUCAUUGAAUAUCGCUCGACGCUCAUCGCUCAUCGCGUUCA